rnacentral:rRNA from 1 species
GAUGAACGCUGGCGGCGUGCCUAAUACAUGCAAGUCGAGCGAACGGACGAGAAGCUUGCUUCUCUGAUGUUAGCGGCGGACGGGUGAGUAACAUGUGGAUAACCUACCUAUAAGACUGGGAUAACUUCGGGAAACCGGAGCUAAUACCGGAUAAUAUUUUGAACCGCAUGGUUCAAAAGUGAAAGACGGUCUUGCUGUCACUUAUAGAUGGAUCCGCGCUGCAUUAGCUAGUUGGUAAGGUAACGGCUUACCAAGGCAACGAUGCAUAGCCGACCUGAGAGGGUGAUCGGCCACACUGGAACUGAGACACGGUCCAGGCUCCUACGGGAGGCAGCAGUAGGGAAUCUUCCGCAAUGGGCGAAAGCCUGACGGAGCAACGCCGCGUGAGUGAUGAAGGUCUUCGGAUCGUAAAACUCUGUUAUUAGGGAAGAACAUAUGUGUAAGUAACUGUGCACAUCUUGACGGUACCUAAUCAGAAAGCCACGGCUAACUACGUG